rnacentral:rRNA from 1 species
UACGGUGAAUACGUUCCCGGACCUUGUACACACCGCCCGUCAAGCCAUGGAAGCCGGGUGUACCUAAAGUCGGUAACCGCAAGGAGCCGCCUAGGGUAAACUGGUGACUGGGGCU